rnacentral:rRNA from 2 species
UGCAAUAUCAUAAGCGGAGGAAAAGAAACCAACAGGGAUUGCCUCAGUAACGGCGAGUGAAGCGGCAAGAGCUCAAAUUUGAAAUCGGCCUCCAGGUCGAGUUGUAAUUUGUAGACUGUAUCUUGGGUGUGUGGUGAAAGUCUGUUGGAACACAGCGCCAUAGAGGGUGAGAGCCCCGUAAACUACUACCCAUUGUAAGAUACUUUCAAAGAGUCGAGUUGUUUGGGAAUGCAGCUCUAAGUGGGAGGUAAAUUCCUUCUAAAGCUAAAUAUUGGCGAGAGACCGAUAGCGAACAAGUACAGUGAUGGAAAGAUGAAAAGAACUUUGAAAAGAGAGUGAAAAAGUACGUGAAAUUGUUAAAAGGGAAGGGUACUGAAUUAGACGUGGGCUUGUGUGUUCAGCUUCGCUUCUGCGUUGUGUACUCGCACAGGCCUAGGCCAAGGUGGGAUAGUUGGGCAGGAAAAAGCUUUGGGAACGUGGCUCUUCGGAGUGUUAUAGCCCUGGGUAAUACUGCCUCGACUGUCUCAGGACUGCGCUUCGGCUAGGAUCUUGGCGUAAUAAUUUUGUACCGCCCGUCUUGAACACGGAACCAA